CGAGUAUUCCUCCCCGACCCCGCUUCCCCGCGUAUAAAUCCACGAGCUCAAGCUUGCGAGCUUAGCCGUAAGCUCAUAUCAAAGUGUCCCACUUGCAACAUCACGCGUCGCUGCCACCCGUCGUCGUCGUCUCCUCCUCUGCUCUCCCUCCGACCGCGUUUCCCCCGAUCUCUGCCUCUCCAGCUCUGGCAAUGUCGCUCUCUCGGCCUCGUCGGGGCAGGGAGGAGGAGGAGGAGCUGGACGGCGGCCCUGCUGCUUCCGCCACCAGGGUUCAAAAGAUUUCUAUGAGGCCUAGAUUGAGAUCCUCAAGAAGGAAAUGCAUUGUAUGACGAAGGGCUUUAUCGAGGAGAGCAAAACCUUGCAGAGGGAGAUGCGAGAAUUCUAUCAGAAUUCCCAACUGCAGCUCAAGGAGCAGAUCAGUGAGCAAAAUAGGAGGAUGGAACAGCUGAUCCAGGAGCAGUUCAAGUUCAACACCUUGAUUUCGGGCCUUGUCUCAUCAAAGCAAAGUUAGAACAUGUCGGUUGAAAUUCGAGAACAAGUGCUGCAAAGGACAUGUACUCAGGACAUGUCAUAAUGGCAGAUGAUGGCAACCCUAUUACAGUCGCUAUAUAUGAUCAUGACAAUAAGAUCAUCACAGAUGGACCAUUAUCCUCACUUCAAGUUAAGAUUGUUGUGCAGGAUGGUGAGUUUAACAAGGAGAAUAAGGAGCAGUGGAGUAGAGAAUCCUUCCUAACAUCAUAGUAUAUGGCCGUACUUCGAAACCACCUUUGCUUGCCAGUGACCUGUAUGUAAGGCUUCAAAAUGGUGUGGCUGACCUCUGUGGUAUAAAAUCCAAGACAAUGUUCCAGGCAGGAAAUUCAGGUUGGGAGUCAUGGAAACUGAUGAUAAUAUACAAGAAAAAAUCCUGGAAGGAAUUUCUGAACCCUUUACCAUAAAGUCUGGUCGGGGUUUCUCAAAUAGGAAGGAUCCUCAUCCAUCUUUGAGUGACCCGAUAUAUAAACUGCAGAAAAUUCAUGAAAAUGGUGACAGGCACAGGCUACUAGAGAAGAUGCAUAUAAAUCAGGUUCACGAUUUUUUGUGGUUCUACAAUAUGGAUGCAAACCGUCUGCGCAACGAUUGUAAAAGUAUCUCAGACCAUGAUUGGAACGUCAUUGUUAAACAUGCUCUUAGUUGCAAACCAGGACAUGGACGUUAUUCUUAUGAUAUUCCUGCGAAGGAUGCUACAAUGUUCUUCGAUUCUCUUUAUAAAAUUGUUGGUGCAAAAUUCAAUGGUAAAUACACUUCUUAUGAGGAACUUAAUGAUACUCAGAAGGGUUUAGUGGAAGUGUCCAAGAAGGAAGCAUAUGACAAUCUGAAACUUGUUCAGUAUGAAUUAAAAAAAAUCAUUUAAUGAACAUCAGGUUAUGGUUGAAGAUAAGCGAAACAGAUACCUGCGAGGAUCAUGUUCAACGCCACAAUGCCCUUCACCACUGAUGACAAGGUUUCAUGAUGACGUUCCUCCACAUGGCAAGGUUCUGGAGAGCGCUCCAGCACAGGAAAGCCCCCGGCCUCGUCAACGUUGGGCAAAAAUUAUGACUGUUGUCACCACCCUUCAUUUCUUGAACAAGAAGCCCCAGGCUACUCCAGAAAUAUCUCAAACUCCUUCGACAGAAAUUAGCUUUGGGAUGACUUAUGUGCCUGACAAUUUACUGGUGGAGGCAGACAUGGAAAUGUGCCCAGUUCCUCUGACAGAAAAUAGCUUUGGGAUGACUGAAUUGUCCUAUGAUUUAUGGGACUGGUGGUAACCUGUCCUAGUAUAGAAAAUAGCUUUGGGAUAGUUUCUACUUUCUCAGUGAAACUUUUAGCAGGCUGCUCCAGGACCAGGAGCCAGAUUUGCCCCAGAUUUGCUUCAGAUGGAUGUUUGCUAUCCUCCAUGGUGCUAUGAAUCGAUAAGGCUGCUGCUUGUCUUCUUAAAUUUGUUAGCUGUAGAAAGAUGUUGGGGGCCUACUUGGCUCACAGAUGUUGCUUCCAAAUAAGCUGAUUUGCUUAGGACUCUUGGAGAUCUUGCAUUCUGGCUACAUACUCUGUUGAAUGUGCUAAUAGUAGUUC